rnacentral:rRNA from 1 species
UACGUAGGGGGCAAGCGUUGUCCGGAAUCAUUGGGCGUAAAGAGCGCGUAGGCGGUCCAGUAAGUCCGCUCUGAAAGUCCGGGGCUCAACCCCGGGAGGCGGGCGGAUACUGCUGGGCUAGAGUCCGGAAGAGGCGAGUGGAAUUCCUGGUGUAGCGGUGAAAUGCGCAGAUAUCAGGAAGAACACCCGUGGCUAAGGCGGCUCUCUAGUACGGUACUGACGCUGAGACGCGAAAGCGUGGGGAGCGAACAGG